UCAAAAAAAAAAAAAAAGUUCCCACAAUUAGAGCUGCCAAUUCGUGUUUGCAGCUCAUAAACUAAUGUCUAACUAGAACACAACCCAUUUAAUUAAUCGUGUCGAAAUACAGAGUCCUAACAUGGAUAUGUUUAUGAAAACAGAUUACACAAUACAUCCCAUUUAACCCGGGUUAUUAUUGGUGUUACGUCCCACGACAUGUUUAACCCGUUUAAAUAAAUGGGUUAUAUAAAUUUUGGGAUUUGCAUUUUUUAUAGCAUUGAAGUAGUUAACAUAGAAUAUUUUUUUUUCUUUUUCCCCAAUGAAACUAAUUUGUUACACUUAUAGAGAUCUUUCAAUCUAUUAUAUGAUAAUAUCCAGAUACCAUUUUGUUUCCACUAAAAAUACUACAUUUGUAGACAAGAAAAUUUUAUAUUCCCAUUUUUGUUUCAAAUAAAAAAACAAUAUACAUUAGGGAACCUAGGUACAAACCCUCAAUUCUAUUGUAUGCCUUUUCUGAAUACUAAUCACAAAUCUUAUCUCAACUAUUUUCUUCAACUACAAAUUUCCUUACAACAAUAUCAUAAAGAAACAACAACCCACAACAAUCCAACCAUUGAUUUUCAAGCCCAAGACAACAAAUUGAACUACUAAGAGAUUAAAAGUUUCUAAUUCUCAUUCAACUGCCAAAAACAUCUAGUUAACAUUCUAAAUCCCUGAAACCCAUGCAGAAAAUUCCAAAAGCAUCCUUCUAAAGGGUUUUCAGACAGAUUCCCUACAUACACAGAAUAACUCACACCCUUGUUUCACCAACUCAACAUCACCCUUCAACGGAAUAAAAUUCCCCCUCAGCUAUAGAUCAGAUUUAGAAUUUCACAAAGACCCACUUCGUAAAUCUAUCCCUAUGCAAACCCCUCAAUAAAGCCCAUAAAAAAAGCAUCAAGCACCAUAAAAUUGCAAUGAAAAUUAUUGAACCAAAAUAAUCCGUACAUCAAUCUGCUAGUGUCUGUCAGAAACCAAACAGAGUAUUAUGAAAUCUGAGAAUGAAACCCUAGGGGAGAGAGAGAGAGAGAGAG
rnacentral:misc_RNA from 1 species